rnacentral:lncRNA from 1 species
UUUUCUUCUUAUUCUCUUUUUUUUUUUUUUUUGGUGGUGCUGGGGAUUGAACCCAGGGCUUUGUGCAUGCAAGGUAAGCACUCUACCAACUGAGCUAAAUCCCCAGCCUCAAGCACCACAUAUUUUGAUGGCUCAGAAGCAUUUGAACUCCAAAAGACUGGGACCAGUUUCUUUUUAAGUUGCCUUUGCAUAUUUGGGGUGUGUUUUCCUUUUCUUAGCAUUAUUAUUAUUAUUAUUAUUAUUAUUUUGAGGAUAUUGAGCUUGAGUUUCUGAAUUUGGGU